rnacentral:rRNA from 1 species
GCCUUGCUAUAAUAUUUGUAAGGUGAGACCUGCUCAAUGGCUACAAAUAAAAAAUAAUAGUAGUUAAAUAGCCGCGGUAACUCUGACCGUGAUAAAGUAGCAUAAUCACUCGUCAUUUAAUUGAUGACUGGAAUGAAUGGUUAUACGAAUCCUAAACUGUCUCAUUAGUAAUAUUAAUAAAGUUGAAUUAAUAGUGAAGAUGCUAUUUAUUAAUUGUAAGACGAAAAGACCCUAUUGAGCUUUACUAAAUACCUAAAUCUAAAAAAUUACACCACCAGUUAUUAAUAUUUAGGCUAACUAGUUUGGUUGGGGCGACCACCUCUAAAACAGUAUCAGAGGAAAUCUUAAGGUAAUUAAUAAUAUAUAAAAGCCUAACUGCAUACUUACCAAUUAACCAGUUACUAUGGGUAGGAUAUAAUGACCCGUUAAAAGAAUCUUAAAAAUUAACGACUAAGAAAAAAGUUACCGUAGGGAUAACAGGGUAAUAUUUCUGAAGAGUUCUUAUCGAUAGAAAUGUUUGCC